AACUUAAUAAAACCUUUUUUGCAUCUAGCAUUACCUGUUCUGAUACAAAUAAUCGUUACAACUUUCAACAAUGGAUCUCUUGGCUCUGGCAUCGAUGAAGAACGCAGCGAAAUGCGAUAAGUAGUGUGAAUUGCAGAAUUCAGUGAAUCAUCGAAUCUUUGAACGCACAUUGCGCCCCUCGGUAUUCCGUGGGGCAUGCCUGUUCGAGCGUCAUC
rnacentral:rRNA from 1 species